CUCCCAUUAGUGUGGGAAAUCAAGAAUCUUGAGCCCUUCAGGGGCUGAGGUUGAAUCUGGUACAACAUCUCUGCCUGUAUCUGGUGCCCAGCCUAGAAGCUGGUGUAGAUGAGGGGCCAGGAAAGGGAUGGAGGAUCCUGCAGCAUGGCCUGGGAAUUCAGGACUUCAACGACAAUGAAGAAGAAAUACUGCCAAGAGCUGAGGUACCACUGGCAUCACUUGGGCCUGUGCCAUUCUGCCCACAUCCCCUUGGAAGUACAGAAUGGAGUACAGAAUCCCCCUCCUAUCUGGACUAGGCAGGGAGUUGAGGUGUGAUGAGGCCUUGCCAGCCGCUCUUCAUGGUGGGAAUACAUUCAAAUCCAGCCUCACCUGGAUAUCCCCCAGGGAGCUGAGCCUUAGGUUUUGUGACAGAAUUUGAGGCAGUGAAUGCUGACCCA
rnacentral:lncRNA from 1 species